rnacentral:lncRNA from 1 species
AGAUUAUAUGAAACCUUCUGUAGUCUGAUGAAAAAUGUCCCAUUAUGUUUUAGGACUAAGUUAAAAUUUUAACACUGUUUAUUUGCAUUUUUUCUGCCCUUCAUAGAUGUCGUGUUAUCAAGAUGAAAUAUACGGAGGAAUCUUCUCCCUAGCCAGAAAUGGAAAUGAAGAUGCCCCAUCCACACCAGCUUUUUCACUGCCACCAGAGACACCAUAUGUGAGAACGUCUCCACUGUACCAUCAGCAGAUUUCCUCCAGCCAAAAGGUCAUCAGCCCAUCUGGGCUGUACAAAACCAGUCCUGAAUCUCAGAGUUACACAGAAGCCCUUAACCAUCCUGCAAUAGUGUCUGACAAAUCCAUCGACGCUAACCCUGCUUUGCUGAGACCCAACACGCAGGUGGAUCCUUCCUUUCAACGCUGUUUAGUGUCCUCAAGUCCAGCCUCAAGUAACAGUUCUGUGCCAGUGGGAGAACAGAAAGGUAGGAAAUGAUUGUCUGAUCUGAAUGUUUAGUUCUCAUUACUGUAGCUUCCAGCCAGUGUGUUACAUCUAAAUCUUCGUUGCAGACCAUUUGGCCACCAACUUUGAUGUGUAACCUGUCAUGAUGUUGUUGCCCACCAUCUGGAAAUUAUCUCUUUCAAAGAUGUUGCUUGUAUGUCUGAGAUGGAAC